rnacentral:rRNA from 1 species
GAUGAACGCUGGCGGCGUGCCUAACACAUGCAAGUCGAACGGAGUCCAGCCUUUAAGACCUUCGGGUCAAAGAGGGGAAGACUGAGUGGCGGACGGGUGAGUAACACGUGGGCAACCUGGCUCAUAGAGGGGGAUAACAGAGAGAAAUUUCUGCUAAUACCGCAUAAGCACACACUGCCGCAUGGCAGAGGGUGAAAAGAGAAUCGCUAUGAGAUGGACCCGCGUCUGAUUAGCCAGUUGGCAGGGUAAGAGCCCACCAAAGCGACGAUCAGUAGCCGAUCUGAGAGGAUGAACGGCCACAUUGGGACUGAGACACGGCCCAAACUCCUACGGGAGGCAGCAGUGGGGGAUAUUGCACAAUGGGGGGAACCCUGAUGCAGCGACGCCGCGUGAGUGAAGAAGUAUUUCGGUAUGUAAAGCUCUAUCAGCAGGGAAGAUAAUGACAGUACCUGAAUAAGAAGCCCCGGCUAACUACGUG